rnacentral:rRNA from 1 species
UACGUAGGGUGCGAGCGUUGUCCGGAAUUAUUGGGCGUAAAGGGCUCGUAGGCGGUCUGUCGCGUCUGCCGUGAAAGUCCGGGGCUCAACUCCGGAUCUGCGGUGGGUACGGGCAGACUAGAGUGAUGUAGGGGAGACUGGAAUUCCUGGUGUAGCGGUGAAAUGCGCAGAUAUCAGGAGGAACACCGAUGGCGAAGGCAGGUCUCUGGGCAUUAACUGACGCUGAGGAGCGAAAGCAUGGGGAGCGAACAGG